UACGAAGGGUGCAAGCGUUACUCGGAAUUACUGGGCGUAAAGCGUGCGUAGGUGGUUCGUUAAGUCUGAUGUGAAAGCCCUCGGCUCAACCGGGGAACUGCAUGGGAAACGGCACGGCUUGAGUCCGGGAGAGGAGAGCGGAAUUCCCAGUGUAGCGGUGAAAUGCGUAGAUAUUGGGAGGAACACCGGUGGCGAAGGCGGCUCUCUGGACCGGUACUGACGCUGAGACGCGAAAGCCAGGGGAGCAAACGGG
rnacentral:rRNA from 1 species